rfam:Schistosoma curassoni strain Dakar, Senegal genome assembly, scaffold: SCTD_contig0000873
AUCAAGCUGACGAGUCUCAAAUAGGACGAAACGCGUGUCCUGGAU